rnacentral:misc_RNA from 1 species
AAGUCGUAACAAGGUAUCCGUAGGUGAACCUGCGGAUGGAUCAUUACCAAUUUUAUAUACUAGUGUGUAUGCCGCUGUCAAAGGUGGUACUACACUACUACUAUUAUGUAAACGUUGAACUAGAUCAAUUGGUGUGGAUUGCUUGGGAAUGGACGAAGCGACAAGCCUCUUCCGGACAGGCAAACCCCACACUGAUAACCCUUUUCAAUAUAAUUUACUAGUACAUACUACAAACAAACAAACAAAAGCUAUAAUAGGACUUAUAAACAGGCUGAGUGGGUAAAAUCCUCGGCUUAACAAUAUAACUAUUACAACUUUCAGCAAUGGAUCUCUAGGCUCUC